CUCCCUCUGUGUCAGUCGAUGGGGGACGUGUUCAGGGCCCUGGAAGCCUGGGACGCUGUGGUGUGGGUGUACUUGCUCCCAUGAGGAAGAGGGUCACCGCCACAGUUUCACUGACUUUUCUGUUUUGUCUUGAUUUUGGCAGCUCCAUCCUGGAAUUGUUCCCCAAGUUACUAACGUUGGAUGACCAGGAGACAUCCCCACUGGCUAAGUGUGGUUUUGAAGCCUGCAAGCGCUUACCAACCUGCAAGGGAAGCUACUUUGGAUCUGAUGAGCUGAAGAACCUA